CUUUUAAUCAUGUCAGUCUAAACUAAGAAAAAAAAACUGCUUUCUUGGUAGUUUAUGGAGGUUACACACUCUCUCUCCAAAAAUAAGGAAGUUACGAACGGUUUCAGGGUUGAUAUCUCCCACGUCCCCUCCCCACGUUUCUUGUAACUUCCAUAUACCCUUCCUUUUAAUAGGGAUCCCAGACCUGUGUUUUUGCCCCAUUCCCCUCCAUCCCUAUCUAUCAAAAUCCAUUAUGCUUUGAAAAGUAAAAGUGAAGCAUCAUUUCGUCGCAAGACCGAUUCCAAACAUCUCUGUCAUCGCAACAUCAAAGUUGUCGAUUUAGAGCACCGGUUCCUCGAAUCUCUCAAUUGCACUCCGAUAAUUGAAGCACCCAGUGUAAUCGCUCAUGAAAUCAAGGUAUGUUGUAUGUUAAUUGUUGUAAAGCAUUUGUGAAUUUGAUCUUCUUUGUGUGUGUUGUAGAAGUUUUGCUCUGCAUCUUCUUCACCUUCCACUAGGUUCACCUAGCUCCGUGAAAGGGCUUUUAAAAGAGCGAAAACUAUAAAUGCUUGUGGACCCUGAUCUAGAGACAAAUUACAUCGAUUCAGAAGUUGCGCAGCUGAUCCAGGUGGCAUUGCUGUGCACCCAAGGCUCACCAAUGGACCGACCCAAAAUGUCUGAUGUGGUCAGAAUGCUGGAAGUUGACGGGUUGGCCGAAAGAUGGGACGAGUGGUAGAAAGUGGAGGUUACUCGACAGGAAAUCGAUCUUGCACCACAUCCUAAUUCUGAUUGGAUUCUUGAUUCGACUGAGAAUUUGCAUGCUAUUGUGUAGUCGGGGCCGAGGUAACUUGAAAUGGGUUCAAAGUUUCGUCGUUUGGUAAUUUAUUUUGUUAUGAUUAAUUAAACUGCCUAUCGUUAAUCGAACAAUCAAUGCCAACACUUUGAGCAAAGUUAUUCCCAAAAGUGGAGGUUACUCGCCAGGAAAUUUAUUUUGUUUUGCAAAUUUGGGCAUAACUUUGCUGGAUAUGAAAGAUGACAUAGUGGAAUUCCUAUUGCAAUGACAACAUUUUCCUCUAUCACAGGGGCAAUUGGUUCUCAUUGUUUAUCUCAGCAGGUUGAUUGAAUAUUCUUUGUGAUUUUGUUGUUUCAUGAGCUUUUGUGCCACUUAUCUACAUCACUGCAUGAAACUAUCACAAAUAGAAUGACACCAAUAGAAGAAAUGGUAGGCAUGGAUGUUCUUUGCAGUGACAAAACUGGAACUUCGACACUGAACAAGCUUUUUGUUGACAAAGAUCUUAUAAAGGUUACUUAAUCAUUUGAACACUGGGCAUGAUAUGAUCAGACAUGAAGCGUGGUUAAGAUUGAAGAAAUUAUGAUUCUGUUGUACAUAGUGGAUAUGAUUUUGUUUUUUGCUGCGUGAUUUUUUGAGAUUGGAAGCUUGGUGUUGAACACGCAAUGAAGUAACAGAAGGGAAUUAUGUUCAGUUCUAGCAACCAUAGAGAUAAUGUUGUGGGCAAAAUGAUUUCAUCGUAUCUUUCCAACCAAUCGCAGUUUGAUGAUCACACAAUCCAUCUUCUUUUUAGUGCAAAUCGUUGGGAGAAAAGACAUGUUAUUUGCAGAUCAUUGAUUCUGUUGGGGUAUUUUGGGUAUACCAUGAGGUUGCUGUUAAGGUUAUCCCCAAAUCCAAGAAAAUACCCUCCAUCAACAGUUAAAUGUUUGUACAGAAAGAAAACUCACUUGAUGUACGAUUCGAUAACUAACUUAUCGAUCCCCGCGACAUCAAACUCAAAUGACUUUGGGAAGAAGAAGACUGAACGUCUUUAUCUUAUUUCUUGCUUAUUUUUCAGAUAUAAAGAAAUGUCUUAGUUUAUUCUUCUCCGAGAAUGUUUAUUAUUGUUUUCCCUUUUGUUGUUAUUCCUAUUUUGACCUAGAUGUGUGCAUCUUUGUGGGGUUUGGUUAACUUAUGAAUAGGACAGAACUGGGGUUAGGUGA